GCUUUCAGUCUUCCAUAUCAGUGAAUUUUCUCUUCUUGUAAUUCUGAACGAGGUUGGAAGCUGUGAUCUGAGAAGCCUGCCCCUUCUCCCAACACUGAAAGUCAUUCAGUCCUUUCUGCCCUGUUUGAAAUAAGCCCCUCUCCAUCUCGUCUAGCCUGGCUACCAGGGCUGAAGUGUCUUCGUUGUAAGCAUUCUGUGAGGAGUCCAUGAUGCGGCGAAAACGUCCGAUAAAAGUC
rnacentral:lncRNA from 1 species